rnacentral:rRNA from 1 species
AUGCAUGAGUUAACUAAGGAAAACAUUGAGCGUAUGAAUGCUAAAUAUAAACUUGCUGGAGAUAAGGGUAGAAAACAUGUUGUGUUUGCACCUGGAGAUCUUGUUUGGUUACAUUUGCGUAAGGAUAGAUUUCCUGAUUUGCGCAAAUCAAAGUUAAUGCCACGUGCUGAUGGUCCCUUUAAGGUGUUAGAGAAAAUAAAUGAUAAUGCAUAUAAACUUGAGAUGCCUGCAGAUUUUGGGGUUAGUCCCACUUUUAACAUUGCAGAUUUGAAGCCUUAUUUGGGUGAGGAAGAUGAACUUCCGUCAAGGACGACUUCAUUUCAAGAAGGGGAGGAUGAUGAGGACAUCAAUACAAUUGUUACACCCACAGCCCCUGCUGCUAUACAUACUGGACCAAUUACUAGAGCUCGUGCACGCCAACUAAAUUACCAGUUUCUUGCUUGUUCUUCGUUUGCUCGCAGGAAACAGACCCUCGUGGUCAGGUUGAUCGUGCUCCGGCUAGAUGGGAAUUGA